rnacentral:rRNA from 1 species
AUUCAGUCUGGGGCGGUGGACGUGCGGGCCGGAAGACCAGGAAGGGCAUCUCCGGAAGGAGGCCGUCCGGCUGCACGAGGAUCCGCCGCACCCGACGCAUUUGUCUCCCGCUCGAAGGACGCCGCAGCCGGUUGGGUAGCUGCAAGCGUGACGGCCUGAGGGGCGGACGACGGCAGGUGGCCGGUGGCGCCUUCGGGCGUCCGCCGGUUGUUAGCCGGUCCGUCAGUGGCUCGUCACCCGACCGAGGUGUCACAAGGCCAUUCGUGGCCUCUCCGCCUCCUCCCCUGACGGGGAAGUCGGGACAGGGUGUCGCAGGUGCAAGUCCGUCGUCCCGUUCGCACUCCCUCGGAGUGGUCGGGCGCACGGAAGGCACCGUUGGCGGCAACGGGUCCGUAGGAGGUCGGAGGCUAGCGGCGAGUAGGUCGGUCACCCACCCGACCCGGUCUUGAAACACGGACCAAGGAGUCUAACAUGUGCGCGAGUCAAUGGGUCUUGAACAGGCCCAGGGGCGCAAUGAAAGCAAAGGUCGGCUGAAGCCGGCCGAGUUGGGAUCCCCGCUCCCUUAACAAGGGCGGGGCGCACCAACGACCCGUCCUAUCCGACUCGUCGGUUGGGCGGAGUGUGAGCGUACACGUUGGGACCCGAAAGAUGGUGAACUAUGCCUCGGACAGGACGAGGCCAGAGGAAACUCUGGUGGAGGUCCGCAGCGGUUCUGACGUGCAAAU